rnacentral:rRNA from 1 species
AUUGAACGCUGGCGGCAGGCCUAACACAUGCAAGUCGAACGAGUGGCGGACGGGUGAGUAAUGUCUGGGAAACUGCCUGAUGGAGGGGGAUAACUACUGGAAACGGUAGCUAAUACCGCAUACCAUCAGAUGUGCCCAGAUGGGAUUAGCUUGUUGGUGGGGUAACGGAUCACCAAGGCGACGAUCCCUAGCUGGUCUGCGGGGAUGACCCGCUACACUUGAACUGAGACACGGUCGAGAUUCCUACGGGAGGGAGCAGGGGGGAAUAUUGCACAAUGGGGGCAAGCCUGAUGCAGCCAGGCCGCGUGUAUGAAGAAGGCCUUCGGGUUGUAAAGUACUUUCAGCGGGGAGGCGUUACCCGCAGAAGAAGCACCGGCUAACUCCGUGCCAGCAGCCGCGGUAAUAC